UACGAGGGGGGCGAGCGUUGUUCGGAGUUACUGGGCGUAAAGGGUGUGUAGGCGGUUGUUUAAGUUUGGUGUGAAAUCUCCCGGCUCAACUGGGAGGGUGCGCCGAAUACUGAAUGACUCGAGUGCGGGAGAGGAGAGUGGAAUUCCUGGUGUAGCGGUGAAAUGCGUAGAUAUCAGGAGGAACACCGGCGGUGUAGACGGCUCUCUGGACCGUAACUGACGCUGAGACACGAAAGCGUGGGUAGCAAACAGG
rnacentral:rRNA from 1 species